rnacentral:rRNA from 1 species
UUCCUUGACGCAACUAUGGUGGUAUCCGGUACAUUAUAUCCAACGGCUCAUUUGUAUUUCCACCAACUUUGGAAAAUUCAUCUAACAUUGCAAAGAAAGGCCAACCAGACCGAUAUUGUCAUCAAGUCCAUGGUUGAAGCAAUGCAAGAAAAGUUCAUGAAGUAUUGGAAGCUUUCAUUCUUGACCAUUUGUAUUCCGGUCAUACUCGAUCCAAGAUACAAGUUCAAAUUCUUGGAGUUUUGCUUGAAAUCUAGACUUGAAAGUGACGCAACGAGAUAUCUUGCUAAAGUGAAGAGAACAUUCAAAGAUUUAUUUGUUGAAUAUUCUGUGCAUGAGGGUGACUCAAGUAUGGGAAAUGAUCAAGGAACCAGCAAUGUUGGUACAAGUACUGAUAACCCAUGGGAUCAAUGGAACAAGCAUGUUCAACAACAUCAACAAAAUCGAGCAAAGCUGAGUGAACUUGAUAUUUACCUAAAAGAUGAAAUUUGCCCGCAAGAAGAUGGCUUCGACAUACUAUCCUGGUGGUGCACAAAUGCACACAAGUACCCCAUAGUAUCUCGGAUAGCAAAGGAUAUACUGGCUGCACCUGCAUCUUCUGUAGCAUCAGAGUCAGCCUUCUCCACCGGAGGAAGAAUACUGAGUGACUAUAGGAGCAGAAUGAUAGAAACCACUGUAGAGGCAUUAAUCUGUCUACAAGAUUGGAUGCGACCUCGA